AGUAUUUCCAUGGAUAGUUUUAAGAGCAUAAUGAUAGAUUUUUGAUAAGGCUUUGAUAAGAGGUUGUGUUAGUAUUUCCAUGGAUAGUUUUAAGAGCAUAGUGAUAGAUUUUUGAUAAGGCUUUGAUAGUGGUUGUGUUAGUAUUUCCAUGGAUAGUUUUAAGAGCAUAGUGAUAGAUUUUUGAUAAGGCUUUGAUAGAGGUUGUGUUAGUAUUUCCAUGGAUAGGUUUAAGAGCAUAGUGAUAGAUUUUUGAUAAGGCUUUGAUAGAGGUUGUGUUAGUAUUUCCAUGGAUAGUUUUAAGAGCAUAGUGAUAGAUUUUUGAUAAGGCUUUGAUAGAGGUUGUGUUAGUAUUUCCAUGGAUAGUUUUAAGAGCAUAGUGAUAGAUUUUUGAUAAGGCUUUGAUAGAGGUUGUGUUAGUAUUUCCAUGGAUAGUUUUAAGAGCAUAGUGAUAGAUUUUUGAUAAGGCUUUGAUAGAGGUUGUGUUAGUAUUUCCAUGGAUAGGUUUAAGAGCAUAGUGAUAGCUUGACAAGGCUUCUGCACCAUGAAUGUGAAAAAUACUCAUGAGAACCCGACUAAUCUCCUUUGUGGCCUUUGGAAAGUUGUUGAGAGCCGAAAACGUCUUGAGAAUGGCCUCAGACACACUACACAUGGGAGUCCCCCCCGCCCUGCAUUUUCCUCCCCACUUCUUUACAACUUUCAAUCAUGUUUUCAUCACCUACAUAUCUACUUAUUUUCCUUCACCUUUAUUUAUCCGCUAGCAGUCGAGAUAUCUCCUCUGUAUUUUCCUUCCCCCGUCUCUAUUCGCUACUACACCCACUACAAAUCUUCCUCCUCUUCUUUGUCCCCUGCACACCUGGCAUUUCCUUUUCCCCUUCUUUUCGCGCCACCCCCUUUGCGGCCCCUGCCUUCCCGAGCUACUCUUCCGAAUUUGGCGGGAGCGAGGGAGCGCGAGGAGGCGACGACACCCUCUACGACAGCCACCAACCCGCACACACACACACACACACACACACACACCCACACCCACACCCACACCCACACACGCACCAUUCUGUUCGAGGGAAUUUUUAAACGUGUAUAGUUUCUCUCUCUCUCUCUCUCUCUCUCUCUCUCUCUCUCUCUCUCUCUCUCUCUCUCUCUCUCUCUCUCUCUCUCCCUUCUUGUAUCAUUAUCCAUUUUUUUUUUUCAACGGCGAAUUUCCUUGUUUCUCUUAUCGCGUUGUCUAUAAUCGCUUAAGCUUCAUGUUCCAAUUUAACUUUUCAUUACCCUUUUUUCAUAACUCUCUCUCUCUCUCUCUCUCUCUCUCUCUCUCUCUCUCUCUCUCUCUCUGUCUGUGUGUCUGUGUCUGUGAGAUCUUGUUCAGAGUGGCAACAGGAAGAGUAGGCGUCUGUCUCUUUUCAGUGUUACACUAUACGAAUAUUUUAACACCACUACCACCACUACCUCCACCACCACCACCACCACUGCCACUGCUACUAUGCUGGCACCCACGCAUCUAGGCUCCACUACCCCCACCAUGACCCCCACCACACUUUCCCCUCUCCUUCUCUACCCCCUCAUCGUGUCUUCUCUUUCCUCUCUCGUCUCCCUAUUUUUCUCCCUUUCCUAACCCACGUCUCCCCGUUCUCACUCCUUCCCCUGCUUAUUCCCUUUCCCUGUCCCACACCUCACCCUCUCCUCUUUCCUCUCUCGUCUCCCUAUUUCUCUCCCUUCCCCUACCCCACGUCUCCCCGUUCUCCCUCCCUCCUCGCCCUGCUUAUUUCCUCUACUCCACGUGUCCUCCUCCUCUCUCCUCUCCUCCCUCUGCCAACACCUCUCCUUCCUCCUCCUCCCCACUUCCCACUAUCUACCUCUCACCACACCACACCACGCUACACCACUUCAGCCUUAAUAUACACCAAUGUCGAUCAAAUUUAACGCGUGGACACACACACACACACACACACACACACACACACACAAGCACAGACACACACACGGAGACAUAUUGCUCUUCCCAGAAUCUGCCGCCACAAGACACCUUAUUAAAAAUUGGAGCACUGGCGUUUGGCAGCGGAGAAGUGGCACAAAAUAA